UUGACCUCAAAUCAGGUAGGACUACCCGCUGAACUUAAGCAUAUCAAUAAGCGGAGGAAAAGAAACUAACAAGGAUUCCCCUAGUAACUGCGAGUGAA
rnacentral:rRNA from 1 species